rnacentral:piRNA from 1 species
UAUCAACAGGUGGUCAAACAUUGCAACA